CCUUGUACACACCGCCCGUCAAGCCACGAAAGUGGGGGGCAUCCGAAGUCGCCGAGGCAACCCGCAAGGGAGCCAAGCGCCGAAGGUGAACUCCGCGAUUGGGACU
rnacentral:rRNA from 1 species